AAAUGCUUGUAUUGUCAGAAAAAAACAGCAGCAGGUAGAUGCAUUUACAAUAUUAAUUUUAAAGUCAGAAAAGGACAGGGAUCAGCUCUCAAUCCUAAGAUGGCAACAUAGUGCUGGCUUAGUCUACCACACCUUGAUAUGUGCUUUGGCCUUGUUGAGCAGUCCCAGUGUGGUGUGCCGACUGCAGUCUGGUCCCAGAGGGAUGAGGGACUUCAACCUCUCCAAACACAGCCGGAGAUGUGCUCGUCUGUGGGAGGAGACACAAUCAAGCAAGACACUUCCCGAGGAAGCGCCCGAGACAGGAAACUCAAAGCAUCAUGGGUACAAGACACAGGGCAGAGUUCACUCACCAGGUUGUCCAGCAUCCUCAUGAGGGACUCGAACUCGGCCUCGCCCACUUUCCACUUGACCUCGUUGUCCAUCACCACCCCGGCAGCAGCAACUCCCUGGGUCAGGGGCUUGAACUUCUCCCUGUCCAGCAGCACGAGGUGAUCGACACCACCCACACACCUCAAAGCAUUCACCUAAACAAGGACAUUAGUUUCAUAAAAUUAGUCUAUUCAUACAAUUUCUACUGACAACUUUACUCAUAUAUCCAAAUACAGAAAACAGUCAUUUUAGAAUAUUCUAUAUUUUAAAACACUUAAUUUGAAAUACAGUCUAAUUAUAUAAGAAGUGAACUGCAAAUAUGUGUCCAAAAUGAUGAGGAAAUGCUAAAACACUGCAGCAUAAUGGGAAAAAAGCCCACCCUAACUGCCUCUUCAACACAAAGCAGCAAGAGUAUUUCAGAAACACUGCAGGCCUCCUCCACCUGACUGAGAACACAGAUCUCUUGCACAUAUUUGACUUGCUCAAACAUACUGUACGCUAGAACUCAGCUUUGCUUCAUGCACUGCUUUGUCUUUUGAGUCUGUCUCAUUUGUUUAACAAAAGAAAAAACAUCUCGGAAUGAUGAAAAGCUGUCUCGCUGACUCAGACACAUAGAGCUACCUUACAAAGUGUCAAGUGUGUGGAAAGGCCACUCUCAAGUUUACAAAUUGCUUUGACCCGAGUGGUGCAAUUACACUUCAUUAGCACGCAGAGGUAGGAUGAAGAAUGCGAAUCAAGCUCUUUUUGUACCUGGAUUUCACAGGCUUGCUGUGAGUGGUAGACAUAGUGAAAAGCUUCUUCUACUGUUUCUCCCAAAGCCAGUAGCCCGUGAUUCCUCAGGAUCAUCACCUGAAAAACACACAACGCUUUAGCUGCCUGAUGGCUCGUCAUAAUCACUGCUAUAUACUGAAACAAUCCAGUUGAGCAACUGCACAUUAACAUAUCCAGACACUAAAGUGCAUUGAUUAAUUCCUGCAUACAUUAAUGACCAAAUGCCAACUUGUCAACAUGUUUUGACAUGACACGUGCAGCAAAAAUACUUCACAAUACAAAAUGUUAAUUGUUCUCUUCUGGUAAUUUGGGGCUGUGAAAACUGUAAACACACAAGAUGGAAAUAGGAGCAUUAAAAUCUGAACUGAUGGUGUCAAGAGGUGGCUGACCCUGUUCAUCCUCAUGCAUGCAAAUAAUUAAAGGUACAGUUUGACAUAAUAGAAAAACAUGCACAUUCCUGUUGUCGUGGAGAGUUAGAUGAGAAGAUUAAUACCUCACUCACAUCUUAGCUUAGUGGUAACAACAACGUGACUACCAGCAUUUUUAAAGCUCUCUAAGUAAUAGCUUAUAUCUUUAUGUGUUUGUGCACAAAAGGAAGAGUAAAAAUCACUUCUACAGUGGGUUGUGUGCAGAACUAUUUAUUGACUUGGAGAGGCGAUAUUUUGGAGUUUCCGCCGGUUGCCUGGCAAUCUUACAGGGAUGAUAAGACUUGAGAAAGUUUAUAUCAGGCCAGAAAUAGUCCAGCACAAAAAAAUGUCUUUUGACAAAUGAGCUGUUUCCAACAUGUUUUACACUUUAUGCUGAGCCCACUGCCUCCUGCUAAUAACUGGCUCGAUAUAUAAUUGAGGGACUUUUGAAGUCCAUGGGAUAUAUUCUGCAUGCAUUUUUAUUAGAAGUAAAAAAAAAACUAAUGUUUUUUAUGUUCAUUAUGAUCAUGUCUUUACAAAUUCCAUAAUUAUUAUGGAAACAAUCACUUACUAAAAAAAUGACUGGAUAUCACUAAAAUGUCAACUAAAUAACUGUCCAAAUUUAAUAACAACCACCUUAUAAUUAGCUAAUCAGUACUAAAAUCAGCUUAUUUAAAAAUUGUUUUGAUUGUGUUCUUUUUAUUAAGUUGAGAUAAUCAUGACAAAUAUUUAUUUUUUUGGCAAUAUAUCAAAAUUUAUAUGGAAAAUAACAAAUUGUACCUGUGUCUAAGUUCCCCAUUACAAAAACACAUCUCAAGGAAGUGUUAAUUCCAGAUCACAUGACCUGCUCCACAUGAUGUCAUUUCCUCCUGAAGAAAAGUCUGGCCAGACUCCAAGGCUUUCUGAGUUAUUUAAUAUAAAGUAGUGUGUGAGUCAAGUGUGGAUUUAUGGCAUGUCAACAGGUUUACUACAAUACUUUUAUCAAUAACUUUCAAUUUUACUCAAUUGUAUAUAUAAUAUUUUUAGAAGAAUCUUUCUGUAAAAAUGCCAUGUGGUGAUUUUGAUUUUAGGGCCUGAAAACAGCAAAAAUGUCAACUAUGUUACAAAAAGUUACAAUUAUAUAUUUACCCAACUGCGUACUUAGUUAACAGGUAUGAGAGUGGUAUUGAUCUUCUAAGGCCAUUUCCUAAAAUGUCACUAUUUACCAAACUCUUGCAGUAAGAGGUGCUUCUAAUAUUCUUGUCUAUUUAUGUAAAUGUUUACAAAAUUAAGAGGUAAAUACCUACAAUUUAAACAAAGUACUUGUAGUUGAUACACAAAAGAUAGAUGGCAGCACACUUUAAUUGUACACUUUCACUGUAUGCUCAUGUAUUAAUGUAUUUACACACACUAACCAACAGGUACAAAUUGCACAAGUGAGUUCAGUGUAAUAAAACCGGGCCGCUCUGUCCCAUGUGAAAGUGAGUCUGCCACUAAUGGAGUGCCUUGAUUUGACAGUACCUUGGCAGUCGGGCCCAGAGCUUUCUGAAACUCCACCUUCUCCUCUUUAUUAUCCAGGCUGCCAUGGUAACCAAAGCAGCUCACGUCUCCCAGAAGCAAAGCCUCCUGGGAAAUGGGCAGGAUUCCACAUUUCAUCGAGGACACCUGUUAGCACGGGAUAACAGCGACUGAGACGGUUUCCCAGAGACUAUGGGUUGAGGAGGAAGUGGAAGUUUGUCGGCUUAGACCUGGUGUCAUUCCAUCAGUGUUAAACUUCCCGGCUCAUCUUGGAAGAGUACGUGCCAGAAAGACCACGACCAAGCAGCCUUGAGAUCUUAGACAGCGUCUCCCUGAGGUCCCUCUCUAUCUCCCCACACAUCCACCAACCACUGGAACACAUCUCCAAAGUUCUGCCAGGCCAGCUCAGCUUCCCCUCAGAAGAAGUUCCACCAGAUGAAGGAGCCUUUUGAGAGGCAGCUGGCAUCGUGAUUGGACUGUACUUUGGUCUGUUCCAAUCCAACUUCAGCUCCAGAGACGGCAGGCGGGACGAGUCAACGGAGGCCUGGUGGAUGAAGACAUGCAGCUCAGUACAAUCCAGAAAACAACAGAGGAGGAGUGCAUCAGCCCAGAGCCAGAACAGAGUAGCAUCGUAUGUCUCUUAGAAAACAUCAUAGUAUAGCCUUUGGUAUGAAAAAACGCCAUCAUAUACAUCGUAUAUUGUACAAAUAACAAGUCAAAGGAAAGAGACAUACAUUGUAGGAUUGUAGUAAUUGUGGGCUGACUGGUUUACUGAUUAUCAGUAUUUUAUUUUUUACUGAUUUACGGUAAUAAAUACAUUUAAAAAUGGC